GAUGAACGCUGGCGGCGUGCCUAAUACAUGCAAGUCGAGCGAACGGACGAGAAGCUUGCUUCUCUGAUGUUAGCGGCGGACGGGUGAGUAACACGUGGAUAACCUACCUAUAAGACUGGGAUAACUUCGGGAAACCGUAGCUAAUACCGGAUAAUAUUUUGAACCGCAUGGUUCAAAAGUGAAAGACGGUCUUGCUGUCACUUAUAGAUGGAUCCGCGCUGCAUUAGCUAGUUGGUAAGGUAACGGCUUACCAAGGCAACGAUGCAUAGCCGACCUGAGAGGGUGAUCGGCCACACUGGAACUGAGACACGGUCCAGACUCCUACGGGAGGCAGCAGUAGGGAAUCUUCCGCCAUGGGCGCAAGCCUGCCGGCGCCCCGCCGCGUGAGUGAUGAAGGUCUUCGGAUCGUAAAACUCUGUUAUUAGGGAAGAACAUAUGUGUAAGUAACUGUGCCCAUCUUGACGGUACCUAAUCAGACAGCCACGGCUAACUACGUG
rnacentral:rRNA from 1 species